rnacentral:rRNA from 1 species
UUUUAAUAAAAAAUAAGAAUUUAUUUAUUUUGAAAUUAACUGAUCUAUUUUAUUUUAAAUUAAAAUUAUGUUUAAAAAUAAUUUAAAAAAUGAAAUAGAAGUGAAAUUCUUACCAAAGUUAAAGAUAUUUAAUUUUUUUAAAAAAAUAAAGUUUGCCUUAUAAUAUUAAAUAUUGAUUUUAAUUAUAAGGAAAUAUAUAAGGGAUAAGCUUUAUAUAUGAAUUAUAUAAUAUUUAUUUAAAAAAUUAAAUAAGAAAUAAAAUUUUUUUUAUAUUGUUAUAAAUAAUUUAAUUUAAGUGUAAUUUUACAAUAAUUUUGUAUUUAAUUUUUUAAAUUUUAUUAAAAUUUAAAAAUGAAAAUAUUAGUAAAAUAAUUUUGCUUUAUAUUUAAGUAAAAUAUAUAAUUUUUAUAUUUAAAUUAAAUUUUAAGAACUUGGCAAAAAAUUUUUUUGACUGUUUAUUAAAAACAAUGUAUUUAGAAAAAAUUAAAUAUAAAUCCUGCUCAAUGAAUUUUAAAUUGCUGUAGUAUUUUGACUAUACAAAGGUAUUGAAAUAAGACUUUAAUUGAGUGCUAAGAGAAUGGAUUUUCAAAAAAAUGCUUUCUUAAUUUUAAGAAUUGAAGUUAUUUUUUUCUGUGAAGAAACAACAAUAAAAAUUAAAGACAAGAAGACCCUAAGAAUUUUUAUAAAUUUAUUAUAUAAAUAUAUAAUAUAUUUAUUUAAUUGGGGCGAUUUGAAAAUAUUUUAAACUUUUUAAAAACUAAAAAGAUCCAUUAAUAAUGAUUUUAUGAAAAAAAUACUCUAGGGAUAACAGCGUAAUAAUUUUAGAUAGAUCUUAUAGAAAAAAUAGUUUGCGACCUCGAUGUUGGAUUAGGAUUCUUAUUUAAUGAAGAAGUUAAAAAAAGAAGUUUGUUCAACUUUUAAAUUCCUACAUGAUCUGAGUUUAGACCGAUGUGAAUCAGGUUGGUUUCUAUCUUAAUUUUAAUUAAAAUUUAAUUAGUACGAAAGGAAUUUUAAAUUAAAAAUUUUU